GGCGAACGCUGGCGGCAGGCCUAACACAUGCAAGUCGAACGAACCCUUCGGGGUUAGUGGCGGACGGGUGAGUAACACGUGGGAACGUGCCUUUAGGUUCGAAAUAACUCAGGGAAACUUGUGCUAAUACCGAAUGUGCCCUUCGGGGGAAAGAUUUAUCGCCUUUAGAGCGGCCCGCGUCUGAUUAGCUAGUUGGUGAGGUAAUGGCUCACCAAGGCUACGAUCAGUAGCUGGUCUGAGAGGAUGACCAGCCACAUUGGGACUGAGACACGGCCCAAACUCCUACGGGAGGCAGCAGUGGGGAAUCUUGCGCAAUGGGCGAAAGCCUGACGCAGCCAUGCCGCGUGGAUGAUGAAGGUCUUAGGAUUGUAAAAUCCUUUCACCGGUGAAGAUAAUGACUGUAGCCGGGGAAGAAGCCCCGGCUAACUUCGUGCCAGCCGCCGCAGUAACAC
rnacentral:rRNA from 1 species